CAUUUCCGGGUGGUUCCGCUGCUAGGUAUCGACCAGACUCUCCUACUAGUCGGUGUGACCCUGACUCUGUGCCGGGUCUGAGGAUGCCCUCCGUCGUCAUCCCUUAUAACCUGUUACCCCCUUUGGGACUAGGUCGUUACGGCGCACUCGCUACUUCCGGAAUCCCAACAUUUCGAGAAAAUGGGCUCUACUAUUACUGUCAUAGCCCUCUUAUUCGGGGCCGAUUGAGGCACGGUCGUCGGCGCCAUUAUGCCUCCCCCGAUCGCAACAAGCCUUAAUGACCCGCAUUUCGCGUGCAUCCGCCGCUAAAUUCAGUCUCCACUUUCGGGCCCCGAGUUGGGGCCUUGACGGAAACUCUGACCUAACGAUCUUAGAACCUCUCCGCUCACCUUAAGGCUCACAUCUCCACUUUAAGCAUCUAUAAGCCUUCUUGUGGUCACCGCUUCCGCCGAGCGACCUGUUCAUAACUGCGACUCCACGCUUUCGCACCCCUCGUUUGUCCUAAUCUAUGGGACCAUCAGGUGCGGCAUUUGCUACUAUUGAUCGACAGGCCCAAGUACCUUAAGCCCACCGCGUCGAUUGCGUAAUUCAUAGGCG
rnacentral:rRNA from 1 species